rnacentral:rRNA from 1 species
AUGUGAACUUACCACUUGUUGCUUCGGCGCGCGCUUCGGCGCCGCCGAGGACACUUAAACUCUUUGUUUUUAUAAGCAUUUCUGAGUGGCCGAAAGGCAAAAAUACAAAUGAAUCAAAACUUUCAACAACGGAUCUCUUGGUUCUGGCAUCGAUGAAGAACGCAGCGAAAUGCGAUAAGUAAUGUGAAUUGCAGAAUUCAGUGAAUCAUCGAAUCUUUGAACGCACAUUGCGCCCGCCAGCAUUCUGGCGGGCAUGCCUGUUCGAGCGUCAUUUCAACCCUCGAGCCCGACUCUUCGGAGGACGGCUCGGCGUUGGGGGACGGCAGACUCCCCCCGGCAUCUCGCCGGGGACGCCGCCCCCGAAAUUUAGUGGCGGCCCUCCGAGGCGACCUCUGCGUAGUAACUUGUUCUCGCACCGGAAAGCUCAGAGCGGCCACGCCGUAAAACCCCAACUUUUUUUAGGUGACCUCGAAUCAGGUAGGACU